UGGACACUGAGUGCCACCACGUGACACUGA
rnacentral:piRNA from 1 species